rnacentral:lncRNA from 13 species
UGAGAAUAUCAUUGGUCAUCACGCGCAACGGUCCGCCCGCCCACCGCGCUGAUUGGAGGAGAGGCUGCCUCUCAGGGCAAGGCCCCGCCCUUCUUCUUGUUCAGCGCGCAGACCCCGCCUCUCUCUUCCCACAGCGCCCUUCGGCAGCGGCGCCUCCCGCCAGUGCUGUGGCGCGACGUCCAUCAAUAUCAUCCCGCCGUGAUUGGCUCGUCUCAAGCAGCGCUGGUCUCGCCCACCGGGAUGCCGCUCGCUCAUUGGCUCAGCCGCACGUCGAUCAACGCCCACGCCCGCAACGCCGCGCUCUGAUUGGUCGAUUGCUCAUGUUUCCCUUGGGAUUUAGCCGGCGCGUGUGGGCCCCGCCAAUGGAGAUCGCUCAGAUGGGAACAUCCCCUCCUCCCCAGGCUUACUGAGGGUGCAACUGGGAGGGCACUGGGGGUAACUGGGAGCACUGGGCCUUCCCCCUCCCGCCCGCUCAGGAGCGCGCUCGCCCCUCACCUCGUUCCAACCCCCACCUCGCGACUCCAACCAAUCACCGCUCCCCUCUCAUUCCCACCACUUGCCACCCAAUCAGCUCAGCCCUUUCAUUCGCGCCGGUCUAGCAGAGCGCGCCUUCUUUCCCGGGCAGAGCCGCUUCCGGGUUUCGGCUGCACCGCGGCCAAUCAGCGCGCGGCCCGGACGCUCUCAGCCAAUCAGGAGACAGGGGGCGGAGCCUCCCCGUGAGGGGGGCCGGUACCGCCCCUUCCCCAAUUCGGGGGUCCGGAGCCCCCCGAGGAACGAAACGGCCCCAAAAUGUCCCCAAAAUGUCCCAAAACGACCCCGAACCCCCCAAACCGCCUCACUCCGGCUCCAGCAAUUUAUUGAAACAACAUUUUGGAGGUAAUUUUUUGGGGGAGGGGGCUCAGCCCCCCCGAUUCUGCCCAAAAAGGGGGUGCGGGGGGGGCGUCCCCAAAUCCCCCCACACCGGGGACCCCUUAAAAGAACCUCUGGAUUUGUUAAACCUCCCAAAAAUGCGGGAAAUGGGAGUUAAAGGGGGAUUUGGGGGUCUGAGGUAUUCCAGGGGGUUUUGGGGGGUCCAUACACAGAAAUCCCUCCCCAAAACCCCCCUUUACAUCACUGAACCCCCCCAAAAUGCAACAAAACGAGAGAAAAAAGGGAAUAAAUGGGGAUUUGGGGAAUAAACGGGAGCUGGGGGGAUUUGGCAAGUCCAGGGAGGUUUGAGGGGGUCUCAAUGUGGGGGGACCACUCUGAACCUCCCCAAAUCAUCUUCGAACAGUUAAACCCUCCCCUCCCCAAAAAACAAAACCCAACCCACUUUAAACUCGAAAAAACCACGAGGAAAGGCGGAAAAAAAGGCGGAAAAAAAUGCGAAUAAAGGGGGAAGGAAGGGGAAGCGGAGGUUUUGGGGCCGCCCCUCAGACGAUCAUCUCCAGCUGCCGGGCGUACUCGAUCACCUGUGUGGCCAGCUCCGUGGACGGGAUCGGGGGGUCCUCGGCCUUCUGCUGCCGCCCCCCGAAGCUGUAAUAGUUGGAGGGGCCCAGCACCCACCCCCGCUGGGAAAACGGGGGGAAAAAGAGGGUUAGGGGCAAAUUCGGGGGGUUUUGGGGGGGAUUUGGG